rnacentral:rRNA from 1 species
AACGAACGCUGGCGGCAGGCUUAACACAUGCAAGUCGAACGCUCCGCAAGGAGAGUGGCAGACGGGUGAGUAACGCGGGGGAACCUUCCUUUUUGUUCGGAAUAGCUCAGGGAAAUUUGGGGUAAUACCGGAUAAGCCCUACGGGGGAAGGAUUUAUCGCCAAUAGAUGGGCCCGCGUCUGAUUAGCUAGUUGGUGAGGUAAUGGCUCACCAAGGCGACGAGCAGUAGCUGGUUUGAGAGAAGGACCAGCCACACUGGAACUGAGACACGGCCCAGACUCCUACGGGAGGCAGCAGUGGGGAAUCUUGGACAAUGGGCGCAAGCCUGAUCCAGCCAUGCCGCGUGAGUGACGAAGGCCUUAGGGUUGUAAAGCUCUUUUAGCAGGGAAGAUAAUGACGGUACCUGCAGAAUAAGCCCCGGCUAACUUCGUGCCAGCCGCCGCCGUAA